UUAACAUGUGCGCGAGUCAUUGGGUGUUACGAAACCCAAAGGCGAAGUGAAGGUAAAGGUUCGGCUUGUCCGGACUGAGGUGAGAUCCUGUUGCCUUGCUCAUACUUCCCAAGUUGCGAGCAGCGGGCGCAUCACCGGCCCGUCCCAUGACGUAGACAUGUGACCUCGUGUUGUGUGCACCGUCGGGGCGGAGCAAGAGCGUACACGUUGAGACCCGAAAGAUGGUGAAUAUGCUUGUGAAGGUUGAAGCCAGAGGAAACUCUGGUGGAGGACCAUAGCGAUUCUGACAUGCAAAUCGAUCGUACAACGUGAGUAUAGGGGCGAAAGACUAAUCGAACUAUCUAGUAGCUGGUUCCCUCCGAAGUUUCCCUCAGGAUAGCUGGCAUUCUGAGAAAUAAACAGUUUUAUCCGGUAAAGCGAAUGAUUAGAGGCAUUGGGGAUAAAUCAUCCUCAACCUAUUCUCAAACUUUAAAUGGGUGAGAAGCUUAACUCGUGGUUGCUUUUCAGUGUUCCCGAGGGCCAUUGUCAUUGGGACAUUGUUAGGCAUGCCACCAUUUCUAACAUUAAUGAGUUUGACUGUCGUGUAAGCGGAAUAGGUCAACUUUGGCCUUUUCGUGCUG
rnacentral:ncRNA from 1 species